GACGAACGCUGGCGGCGUGCCUAAUACAUGCAAGUAGAACGCUGAAGCGAGGAGCUUGCUCUUCUUGGAUGAGUUGCGAACGGGUGAGUAACGCGUAGGUAACCUGCCUUGUAGCGGGGGAUAACUAUUGGAAACGAUAGCUAAUACCGCAUAACAAUGGAUGACACAUGUCAUUUAUUUGAAAGGGGCAAUUGCUCCACUACAAGAUGGACCUGCGUUGUAUUAGCUAGUAGGUGAGGUAAUGGCUCACCUAGGCGACGAUACAUAGCCGACCUGAGAGGGUGAUCGGCCACCCUGGGACGGAGACACGGCCCAGACUCCUACGGGAGGCAGCAGUAGGGAAUCUUCGGCAAUGGGGGAAACCCUGACCGAGCAACGCCGCGUGAGUGAAGAAGGUUGUCGGAUCGUAAAGCUCUGUUGUAAGUCAAGAACGGGUGUGAGAGUGGAAAGUUCACACUGUGACGGUAGCUUACCAGAAAGGGACGGCUAACUACGUG
rnacentral:rRNA from 1 species